CAUUGUUCUCACUCUGUUUACAGGAGUGACCUCCAAUUCAGAUGCUGCACAGCUUGCAGAGACCCUUAUACAGAAUAACUGUAAGACCAAGGUCGUUGGUGUGCCAGUUUCAUUGAAUGGUGACCUCAAGAACCAGUUCGUUGAAACAACAGUUGGAUUUGAUACAGUGUGCAAGGUUAAUUCACAGCUUGUAAGCAAUGUUUGCCUCGAUGCAAUCUCAGCUGGAAAGGUUAAUUCCGCUCAUAUUUGUACCUCUUCA